UCGAUUCAGCGGCGGACGGGUGAGUAAUGCCUAGGAAUCUGCCUGGUAGUGGGGGACAACGUUUCGAAAGGAACGCUAAUACCGCAUACGUCCUACGGGAGAAAGCAGGGGACCUUCGGGCCUUGCGCUAUCAGAUGAGCCUAGGUCGGAUUAGCUAGUUGGUGAGGUAAUGGCUCACCAAGGCGACGAUCCGUAACUGGUCUGAGAGGAUGAUCAGUCACACUGGAACUGAGACACGGUCCAGACUCCUACGGGAGGCAGCAGUGGGGAAUAUUGGACAAUGGGCGAAAGCCUGAUCCAGCCAUGCCGCGUGUGUGAAGAAGGUCUUCGGAUUGUAAAGCACUUUAAGUUGGGAGGAAGGGCAUUAASYUAAUACSUURSUGUUUUGACRUUACCRACAGAAUAAGCACCGGCUAACU
rnacentral:rRNA from 1 species